rnacentral:lncRNA from 1 species
CUUGGUCUCUUUUGUUUAAUUAUGACAAAGCAUUCUCUGCAAAAUGCCGCUGUUCUCAUCAUCCUGGUCCAAGCCAAGUUCUGAAUCUGAGAGUGGGACACCAGCCCGAAGCCAAAGCCUCAGAAUACGAAGUGCCCUGCCUUCCAUCCCAGCCCACCCAGACAAGCAACUGAACAAAGUGGAAUAUGGGCUAGUGUUGAGAAGCCAUUCUCAAAUCUCCACCAG